rnacentral:pre_miRNA from 1 species
AGGAAAGUUAUACCCCUUUCUACACAGGUUGGGAUUAGUUGCAAUGCUGUGUGUGCCUGUAGUAUUGCACUUGUCCCGGCCUGUUGAGGUUGGUGGGGACAGAGGC